GCUUAGAGUUUGAUCCUGGCUCAGGAUGAACGCUGGCGGCGUGCUUAACACAUGCAAGUCGAACGGUCUCUUCGGAGAUAGUGGCGGACGGGUGAGUAACGCGUGAGAAUCUGCCUUUAGGUUCGGGACAACAGUUGGAAACGACUGCUAAUACCGAAUGUGUCGCAAGAUGAAAGAUUUAUUGCCUAAAGAUGAGCUCGCGUCUGAUUAGCUAGUUGGUGGGGUAAAAGCGUACCAAGGCGACGAUCAGUAGCUGGUCUGAGAGGAUGAUCAGCCACACUGGGACUGAGACACGGCCCAGACUCCUACGGGAGGCAGCAGUGGGGAAUUUUCCGCAAUGGGCGAAAGCCUGACGGAGCAACGCCGCGUGAGGGAGGAAGGCUUUUGGGUUGUAAACCUCUUUUAUCAAGGAAGAUAAUGACGGUACUUGAUGAAUCAGCAUCGGCUAACUCCGUGCCAGCAGCCGCGGUAAUACGGAGGAUGCAAGCGUUAUCCGGAAUAAUUGGGCGUAAAGCGUUCGUAGGUGGUUUUGCAAGUCUGCUGUUAAAGCGUGUAGCUUAACUACAUAAUGGCGGUGGAAACUGCAAAACUAGAGUGCGUUCGGGGCAGAGGGAAUUCCUGGUGUAGCGGUGAAAUGCGUAGAUAUCAGGAAGAACACCGGUGGCGAAGGCGCUCUGCUAGGCCGCAACUGACACUGAGGGACGAAAGCUAGGGGAGCGAAUGGGAUUAGAUACCCCAGUAGUNC
rnacentral:rRNA from 1 species